UACGUAGGGUGCAAGCGUUGUCCGGAAUUAUUGGGCGUAAAGAGCUCGUAGGCGGUCUGUCGCGUCGGAUGUGAAAAUCCAGGGCUCAACCCUGGACCUGCAUUCGAUACGGGCAGACUAGAGUUCGGUAGGGGAGACUGGAAUUCCUGGUGUAGCGGUGAAAUGCGCAGAUAUCUGGAGGAACACCGGUGGCGAAGGCGGCAUCCUGGACCAAUUCUGACGCUGAGGAGCGAAAGCCAGGGGAGCAAACGGG
rnacentral:rRNA from 1 species